rnacentral:rRNA from 1 species
AGCCGCCGCGGUAAUACGGAGGGUGCAAGCGUUAUCCGGAUUCACUGGGUUUAAAGGGAGCGUAGGAGGGCAGGGAAGUCAGUGGUGAAAUCUCCGGGCUUAACUCGGAAACUGCCGUUGAUACUCUCUGUCUUGAAUACCGUGGAGAUGAGCGGAAUAUGUCAUGUAGCGGUGAAAUGCUUAGAUAUGACAUAGAACACCAAUUGCGAAGGCAGCUCGUUACACGCAUAUUGACUCUGAGGCUCGAAAGCGUGGGGAUCAAACAGG